rnacentral:rRNA from 1 species
UACGUAGGGGGCAAGCGUUGUCCGGAAUCAUUGGGCGUAAAGAGCGUGUAGGCGGCCCGAUAAGUCCGCCGUGAAACUCCAGGGCUCAACCCUGGAAUGCCGGUGGAAACUGUCGGGCUGGAGUCCGGAAGAGGCGAGUGGAAUUCCUGGUGUAGCGGUGAAAUGCGCAGAUAUCAGGAGGAACACCAAUGGCGAAGGCAGCUCGCUGGGACGGUACUGACGCUGAGACGCGAAAGCGUGGGGAGCAAACAGG